ACCCAAGGCGAUGGGCGGACUGAAUGCAAACGUACAAAUUGCUCUCCCCGUGUAGAUAACGCCUUUCAGAU
rnacentral:snoRNA from 1 species